CACACCAGGCUGGUAGCGGAUUAUUGAGCAGUGCUCAGAUUGUAAUGACUUUCAUCUGCAUAAAAUGAAUUGGUGGGUCUCAGUUCAGUUCCCAGUGGAUGGGUGCCCAAAUCACAAACCCACUAUCACAGCUCAAAUUAACUGGCCCCCAAAAUGGCAGUCUCACAUCAGAGAGGCCAAGGACCGAAUGGGUCAGUGGAGACUGAACUCCCUGGAUGGAGUUCCUCCAAGCCCAGACUGAAGAACAGUGGUAGGGCACAGUGAGAAACUUUCAGUUUCCAGGACUGUUGACCCUGAGUUCAGGAAGAAAUUAUUUCCCUCAUCUACUAUGGUAGAACAGGAUUCUAGUUUGGUGCAUUAUAGGGGAUUUUGUACUUCCUGCUGAAGGAGCAGCCAAGGUCCAACAGAAAAUACCAGGCUAGAUGGACUAUCAGUCUGUUUGUGUAGCAGUUCCUAUAUUCUUAUAUUCCACAGACUGGCAGAGAAUACGGGGAGCUAAUUGCCAAAGAAUAAAAAAGCCGAUAUAGCCACAAACCUUCAGUGGAUAGGGUGAAUUGAGAAAAAAACCCAUAAAAUAUCACUCACCACCCAGAAACAGGGCCUAUAACACUGACAUAGCAACUUGUUCAACAUCGUUCCACGAGUAAUGUUUACUAAGAGAUGCUGAGAACUCCAUGGGCAUGUUUUGCGCACCUUUUGAAUAGUGACAGAUCUGAGGCUGGCUACCAUCCUCUGGACCUCUGCCCAAAAUAACCAUAAGAGGACCUGACUGGAGUCAGUCCCAGUAAGAAAUCAGCAGAAAUGUAACCAGGUUCCUCAACCUCCAUAUCCUCCACUGAAGUACCUGUUUUCCUUGAUUAAAUGUUCUCAUUCCUUGUUCUAAUAGUUCAUUUUUUCUUCCUUUAGUCUCCUCUGUGAGAGUUCCCAUUCUCCGCAGGUCAUAUCUAGGCGCUAGCCACUCUGUUGUUCCUCUGUGAUCAUAAGAGUCAUUUUACUCUUCCCUUUGGAGACAAGAAUUUCUCUUGUCUCCAAAUUCCCAUUCUCUUAACUGUAGGUCCUAUCCCAGAACCCCUCCUUUAGCCCUUCUUAGCUUUCAGAGUUCCAUUUUCUCUUUCAUUUGAGCAUCUCUCUCCAGCUCCUGUUCUCCUCACCUGAAGAUCCUUAUCAUGGCUUUGUCUUUCCAGGACCAGCACUCGCUCCUGCAGUUCCUCCACGGUUCCUUGAAGCAGAUCGUUUUCCUCCAUCAUGGCACUAAGGCGACACUCCAGCUCCCGCUUCCUAUCGGUGCAGCAUGUACCCACUACAACAAAAACAUAGCGAUAUGAAAGAUAUCCUUUUUGAAGCAGAUGCAAUGUUCUCAGCAUCUUGAUCAGUUAUCAGAUUAACCCUAAACAGGGUCAAUGAAUUGCAGGUUUUGCCUAUGAUUAAUUAGCCUUGUAAAGAUGCUUUGGAAUACUUCAACAUGAAACACCGUAUACAUAUAAGACAACCAUCCUCUUCAGAUGAAGGAUGCUAUAAAGGUCUUUUUCUGUACCCACACCCAAGUUAUGCAAGCACUCAGAACUCCAGGACCAACAGUGUUUCAGAAGAUAUGCAUAGGACUUGAUGUUGCAGAGCCUAGUAUAGCUGUAGGAUGGUGAAAUAUACAGACAAAUAACCUGAAGACAAGUUGUCUUGCUGGAAGACCUGAUAGAUGAAGUGUUCUGCUUUAGCAGAUCAUUAUGAUUGAAGUGGGGUUGUGGUGGACUCAAUUUUACAGUUCAAGGAAGGAGGUUUGUGAACUUUACAGCAGGCACACAAGUGGAGUAUAAACUGACACAAGAAGAUUUGAGAAAAACUACAGCAGAUGGAGAUCUGAUAGCAUGUGCUCCAGUCCCUGACGAAGACAGCUUCCUGGCACAGCUGGCAAGAUCAGACUGAGGAAUAUGAUUUAUAUUCCUCAAGCACCACCUACUUGGACUCUUUGUCCUGGGUGGGGACCUGAAGUGGCUCAGUCCUAUUGCUCUUUAGGGCACGCUGCAAGGUUCCUCAUUCCGUGGUGGCUUUUGGGGAGUAGGAUGUUGCUGAAGGGGCAUGGGGUAUUUAUAGGGAGUAUGGGGCAUUUUUCUUAUUUAUUCCUUUGCUGCAAGGUUUAACCAUUUGCUGUUGUAGUAGAUAGAGGAGGCUGCUGCUGCUAUUAUCUUUGUUUAAUUGUGCUUUUAAAUAAUUGUCAAGGCUGCCUGGAGCUUAGGAUAGGCGCCUCAUGUGUCUGUUUCUACAAAUCUAACUAAAUAAAAAGAAAUAUUUUAAGAGGACAACAACUGAAAUGAAAGCUGAAUAAAACAGACAAAGUAAUUGUGUGGCUGUGUCAGCUCCUCUUAACUGGUAGCAGGGAGAUUUCAUGCUCACAUACAGUUAGAAUCAGAUUUAUUUUUGGAAAGUUUUUUUUUUAAUUCUGGCAAUUUGCAUUUCCUUUGUUUCCUUUUCCAUGGAAGUUCAUUUAUUGUUACUAUUUUUAUUUAAAUGGAGAAACAAGACUAACCUCAUAGGGGAAAGCAUGCAGAUUAUUCCACAUUUUGAGAGCACACUGAUCUAGUACACUAAUUCUUAAGAAACUACAAUAGGCUUUUCAACUGGGAUCUGACAUAGCAAUGCUGCGUUUAAAUUAAUAUUUUUCUUUUCCUCUCAUACUGUAUAUCUCCUGUUAGUGAAAAGCAAGAUUAAUGUGAUCAAUGUCAGAAGAGAAAACUUUAUUCUGCAUUCCAGGCUGGGAUGUGGCUGAUAUUUCUCUGUACAUGCAUGAGUUUUUGGUAGGAAGAAUAGGUGUAUCAUAGCACUGCGUGCCCAAAUAUGGGGCUGAAUGUAUCUAAGAUGGUGCAGCUUACACUUUCUUCCAGCCCUUCAGCAUGCUGGUUACAACAAUAUAGGCCUAAGCUACACUAACAAUUCUAAAAGCACCAGUGCGUAGCUGUUUGACACAGUUAGGUGCAUCCAUGUUCUAGCACAGCUGAUUUUUGGAGUGUGAAUGGGACAAUAGCCUUAUAGAACCAUGUUAGGAAAUAGAAUUACACCUUCCUUACACUCAGACUCAGCCUCUUUUAUCCCUACUCACAUGUCCCACUUAUCAAUAUGCUGCUUACAUGUCAGCCCCCUUUUUCUGGCCCACUGACUGGACUGUUUUUCUGGCCUGGGGUAAACCUGGAGUCCUCUCCCUCACUAGCUCAGAAAUUUGCUCUUGGGGGAGAUUUAAACGUGCAUAGGCUUCCCUUACCAUGGCCAUCCAGGCAUAUUUGUGUAAUGUGUGGCUAUGUAUAACUUUGCUACCUAAGGUUAGGCUUAUUUUUAACAAACCAUAUUACUCCAUAGAAAACUGGAGUAAAUAAUAGGUCUCAGUGUAUAGACUCUCUGUUGAACUUCUUCAUGGGUUCAAUCUGUAUUUUCAAAUCUUUGUCUGGUUUCAGUUGCUUUAACUCUUUUCUAUGUUCCCUCAUACAUUUUGGUUUCUCCUCUCUGUUCCUCCCUCCUUUUUUUUUUUUUUUGCCUUCCUCCCUGUUUAGUUCUUUUCUAUCCCUAUCCCCUCAGAUAAUCCUCUCUCUGAUCUCCUAGUUUGUCACAGGAACUUCAGGUGCCAUCAUUCCUUCUGUUUUCAUUCUCUCUUUAAUUUUAAAGGAACAGCACCAACACCACUUUUUUGGGCCCAGUACAACCAAGCUGCAUUCAGUGCAGGACCUGAGGUGGAGGCAGAAAGGUAGCUCUAUGCCCCUUUUGCAUUUCCUGGGAAAGCCAGCCCUGGUUUGGCCCCUAGUGAAAGUUUCAGAGAUGCUUUAGCUUACAUUGCCAUUAAUGACAGAGGAUUGCUUACGCACAGCAUGCUCCAGUCACGCCCCCUGUGUCAUGGGCAUGGUAGUGGCAGAUGGACGGCUACACAACAACACUCAAGGAUUCCCGGGUAAGACCCUGACCAUGGUAGCUUUCCAGUCCUUUUGUGCCACCCGACCGGUGGAAAGUGUCUGCAUGGGGGUCAAGUAUAUGGCCUAUUUUGUUUAUCUAGGUUUUUACAUGACACUCAUCAUCGUGGGAGCUGAGGAGCAAGAGAAGGGAAAGGAAUAUUAGACAUACUAUAGUUCUUUAUAGGAAGAUAGAUACUGACUAGACAGACCAUGGGUCUGAUUUGGUAUGGGAAUUCCUAUCUCCAACAUUGGCCAAUACCAUAUACUUGAAAGGAAGGUGCAAGAAAUCCUGCAAUAGGCAAUUAUGGUAUUACUUGCUGUGAUGGGGUGCCUACUGCACACAGGUGGUGAAAGAGUUAAUAUGGGCUGGAGAGGCUAAUUAACUCACUUGGUUGCACCUGGAGGGUGGGCCAGACCUAAUUAAUGAUGAAACAGAGCUGCUGAGAAGCUGGGUGGUUACUUUAAAGAGAGGAAAUGUGGCAUAGCUAGGGGUAGUAGGGAGAAACUUUAAAGUCAGUCCCCUGGUAGGGAUUAGGAAAGCUCUUGCAAGGUGAGGAGACAGGCGUGGUAGGUAGAAGUCAAGAGAGGUGGUAGCAAGGAGUCUGCUGGAGUGAACCUGGACUGCCUGUGCUAGGGUCCCUGAGCUGGAAUCUAGUGUUAUAUCCCUGGACUAAAUGUGACCUGGCUGGAGAGCUGAGUCAUGAGAGGAAGCAGACCAAUGCAGGACCAGAGUGAGUGUUGGUUGAAGGUGCCAAACAGCAUUUAUUUCUACUCAGAACUGAAUUCCAGAAGACAUUCUAUUCUGAAAGUGUGCUUCCUCAUCCAGUUAACUGAGUUGGGUCUGUACUGACUUAAAAAGACAGGAUCAAGUGGGAGUUGCCUUGUUGACAAGGAGAAGCUGCACUGCAAAAUGCUGGAAAAAGGACACAGAAGGGAACAGAGGCAUUAAUUGUUUUAACUCCUUGCAGAGGAUAACAAUGAGAUUCAGAGAGUAUCUCAACUAUAAAAAGAUCUGGGAUUCCAUAUCUGGAAAUGAAUGUAAACUCUCACUAAGCACUGAGAAGUCUGUCAAAUUAGGUGUGCUUGGUACCAAAUGCAGAACCUUAGUAAACCAGGCCAUCAAACACACAGAGAACACUUUUAGAGAUAACAAAGAGCUAAUUGUGCAUUGUGUAUAUGUUUUCAGAGGAAAACAAAUUUAUGAAUCUGCAAAGGAUCAAGAGUGUAUAGAUAUAUAGCUGUUUUAGUGACUCCAGAAGAGCAGCCCAGUGCACUGUUAGCUGGAAAGUGGAUACACUGGAGAAACUGCACUGAAUUCUCAGUAUUAGCUCUGAACAGUUAACUUGGGAGGAAAGGAGGAAAUGUCCCUUGACAGCAGCGAAACUGUAACCAGGGUGAUCUCAGCUAACAUCUCAGUUUCAGAAAGCAGUAAUAAUAAAUUCUACAAAGGGAGAGAGAAACUGCGAUAUAUAGGGAAAAGGAUAAAAUAAGCACAGCUCUUUUCCUUUCCCUGCCCCCCAGUCUCUCUUGCUCCCAUUGAAGUGAAUGGAAGUUUUUCAAUAGACUAACUUUUAGCUUGAUAAACACAGGAUUAUCAAUGUUUUUUGCAGUAUUGUGUAGCCAUGUUGGUCCCAGGAUGUGACAGAGUCAAGAUAUUAUCUCAAAACACCCUGUCUCUAAGGUUAAAACAAAAGCAAAUCUAACUAUUAAACAAUGCACUGGGAGUGAAAAGGGCUAAAUAUUAAAAAACUUGUACUUUGGGGGAACAUUACACUAAUAAAUAGUGUAAUUAAACAAUAUUUUGAACAAAUGUCACCUUCACUACUGUUGCUAUCAGAAGAGUAAAAUUACAGAGAAGUUUUACUAUGGAGAUAAAGUUAUUUGCUAUAGUAAAGUCUUGGGUUUAAUAACAAAAAGACAGAUAUCACUUUAGGAUGAAAAAGCUCAGAGAACAAAGGACUUUGGUACUUACAGUAAAUUCACAAAUCCUCUUGAAUUUGCAAAGAUAUAUGACUCCACAAGGAAGACAGGAAUAUGCUGAAGUGUAUACACAGGGUCAGUGUCAGGUAAUGGUUUCAAAUUAGAAUGUUAAUCUGUCAUUGUUCAAACUAGCUCUAAAACGGUGUUCCCUGGGUUUAGUAUUUUCAACAACAUUUACUGGUGGAAUUAGAAAGGUCUAGUGUAAAUAUCUAAGCAAAGAACUGGUGUAAUAGUAAUACUUUAUAUAGUUGUGUCAUAGAAUUGGUCCAAGAGAAGCUGUCUGCACAAGCCCUUUCAUUUAUAAUCACUCCAUUUCAACCUAAAAAUCAAUACAUAGCUCAAUCCACUGAGUUCCUACCAAACAGCCUUUCCCAGCUAUUUAUAGGUAUUUUCAAAGCAGACAGUUCACACACACACACCCCAUUAAGGUCAUCUGCUGGCAUACGUUAUCCAUAAUAGCCAAUUGCUAAGGCACAAAGAUUAUGUACACAGUACCUUCUACUUUAAGUUUCAAUUCUGAAGUAUUCCCAAUUCUAGACUUUAAAAAAAAAAAAGUUUGUACGUCCACAGUUAAAAGGUACCUACCGUUCUACC